GGGCUCGUGGCGCAGACAGGUAGCGCAAUAGGCUUUUAACCUAGGGGUCGCGGGUUCAAAUCCCGCCGAGCCCGCCA
rnacentral:tRNA from 2 species